rnacentral:rRNA from 1 species
UACGUAGGGUGCGAGCGUUAAUCGGAUUUACUGGGCGUAAAGGGGGCGUAGGCGGCCCGGCAAGUCAAGUGUGAAAUCCGGCGGCUCAACCGCUGGGCUGCGCUUGAAACUGCCGGGCUUGAGUGCAGCAGAGGGAGACGGAAUUGCCGGUGUAGGGGUGAAAUCCGUAGAUAUCAGCAGGAACGCCGGUGGAGAAGUCGGUCUCCUGGGCUGUUCCUGACGCUGAGGCCCGAAAGCUAGGGGAGCAAACCGG